rnacentral:rRNA from 1 species
GUAGGGAAUCUUGCGCAAUGGGCGAAAGCCUGACGCAGCCAUGCCGCGUGAAUGAUGAAGGUCUUAGGAUUGUAAAAUUCUUUCACCGGGGACGAUAAUGACGGUACCCGGAGAAGAAGCUCCGGCUAACUUCGUGCCAGCAGCCGCGGUAAUACGAAGGGGGCUAGCGUUGCUCGGAAUUACUGGGCGUAAAGGGCGCGUAGGCGGACAGCUUAGUCAGAGGUGAAAGCCCAGGGCUCAACCUUGGAAUUGCCUUUGAUACUGGCUGUCUUGAGUUUGGGAGAGGUGAGUGGAACUCCGAGUGUAGAGGUGAAAUUCGUAGAUAUUCGGAAGAACACCAGUGGCGAAGGCGACUCACUGGCCCAAUACUGACGCUGAGGCGCGAAAGCGUGGGGAGCAAACAGGAUUAGAAACCCGAGUAGUCC